rnacentral:rRNA from 1 species
UAUGUAGGGGGCAAGCGUGUCCGGAUUUAUUGGGCGUAAAGAGCGUGUAGGCGGCCAAGCAGGUCAGCUGUGAAAACUCGAGGCUCAACCUCGAGACGUCGGUUGAAACCGCUUGGCUAGAGCCGGGAAGAGGAGAGUGGAAUUCCCGGUGUAGCGGUGAAAUGCGCGAUAUCGGGAAGAACACCCGUGGCGAAGGCGGCUCUCUGGGCGGUACUGGACGCUAGACGCGAAAGCGUGGGGAGCGAACGAGG